AGGAGGAAAUAGAAGCAUGGCGGCCAGAGGAGGUGUGCCGGCAGGGCGCGCAUGAACGGAGCCGGCGCAGUGCUUGUUUCCAGCCCUGGACCGCGCCGAGAAGAGAGACGCAGAGCACAGUAAAUCGGGUGGUGCCAGCACCCCUGAGCCAUUUCUGCACCCCGGGCACCGUGAGCUGGCUUUCCCCGGGGACGCGUGGCCAGGUCUUCCGUGGGCCCCUCCGUCGGAGGCAGCCAAGGCACACCCGCGCGGACUGCAGGAACAGGCGUCCCCCGCGGGGCGCUGGUGUGGCCUUACACAGCCGUGGGCACAGCCAAACCACGUUACAGGCUUUCCUACCGUGGCGAUUUUGAGAGGAAAUUCAUGUAAUCCUGGCGAUUUAAGCAUUAAGGUUUCAGACCUCUGAUGGACCCAAGAAAAACACACACGUUUUCCAACAAUUUCAAAACUAAUCACCCUAACCCCAAAGCACGUUAGACUUGUUUCUUGAAUCUGUGGCUCCCUUCCGAACCAGAGCUUUUGGGGUGUCGCAGUAGAGGGGCCGGGUGGGGCGCCUUCCCCUCCUCAGCUUGGACACCGGUGUCAGCCCAUUGGGGUCACCAAGGUGCCCAGCUGCCUGAGGGAAGAGGCCUGGUUUUGCCUGGUACACAGUAGAUGAUGGAGUGGGUGGAUGCAAGGCAGGAGGCUUCCUUUAUUUUUUCAACGUGUUUGUAAUUUUAAAAAAUAAAGGGGACAUGUAGCCUGUGGGCCCAGGGUGGACACACUGAGAAGCAGCAUGAAUCUCCAGGUUUGGAUGCCUGAGCCACCCUUCAGGACAACAGCCUUGGAGAGGCCACAUCUCCUGUUCCCUAGAAACAAGCCCCUCUCCCCCCGCAGCGUCUGCCUAGGAGUCUGCUUCUGUCCUAAGAUGCUCUGAGGCUCAGCCCUACGCUGGGGCGCUGACCCUUAUCAAGCGACAGUUUGGAUGCCCGGCCACCCAGUCCCUGCUCCCCACUUAGGGAGUCUCGAGAGUACCUGGCUUCUGAGCGCGUAGAUCACAGACUGGUGAGCCAGGUGUCGGGAAGGGUCUGGGGCAGUGCGGCCGGGACUCUUAUUUCCUCUGUAGGUACAGAGGCUGUGCCGAGCCACGCCAAGAAGUCACAGGGGUGGGACACUGCUGCAGAUGGCCAGAGGCCUGCAGCUGUCACUAGGUGUUGUAGUUAGGGGUAGUACAGAGAACAGUUAGACUCAAGACUCAGAAUUUAUAAUAUAUUUUAUGAUGUCACCCAGAGUUAAAUAUAAGAAAGUGAAGGAAAUCUGUCUACAACACUAAAGACAUAGAAUAUUCAGCGAAGGGCCUGGAUCCCACAGCAAUGUCCUGCAUGAGUCCAGCUGAAGACCCAGCGCCCAUGACAGUGCCUCCCACGAGUCCAACUGGAGGUCAAGAGCCCACGAGAAGGACUCACACCAGUCUGUUUUACAGAUCCGCACUGGGAAGGCCCAGAGGUCAAGUGAUGGAAGCUAGGAAGUCUAUGCCAGCAGGAUGAAGGAGCUGUGCUGGUGGGAUGAGGGUUCUGCACUGGAGCCGAGAAGUCACACUCAAAAUAAGUCCCAGGGCUGCCCUGAAAAGCACCACAGCCAUCCUCAGAGACAUGGAGGUCCCAAGCUCCUCUCAUAAGAACAGUCAAGUGCAUGCCAGGAAGCCAGCAUGACGAGCUUCUCCUGGAGAUGAAACGGCACAGGUCUUCCCCUCAGAGCCAGAAGCGAUGGUCAGUGUGAGGACCGGAGCUGCCCCAAAGUGAACCACAGCCACUCUCACCAAAGUUCCAAACUCCUCCAGUGACAAUGGUGGAACUCACACUGGGGAAGCCAGCAUGACGAGCUCCUCCAGUAGAACCAACAGCUCAAACGGCAACACUCGGAGAAACCCUCCACGCCUGGCCUUUCCUUCUCCACAUCUCCAUGCUGGCAGCUUUCCUCAGGUGGCCAUCUACACCCAGCACCAUGCUCAUUUAAUUCAGCUGGCGUUAAGUUGACCACCAGUUUUUAAUCCAUAACGCCAGGCACUGUCACCUGGCCAGGGCAGGGUCAGCCUCCCACACCUCUGGGGUCCAGUGUAUUCUGGGAAAUGUAGUUCUGGGCUUCCAGCCACUGCCCAGGAGGGACAGGGCCGGUGCCCAUCCUUUACAGCACGAGCUUGAUCACUGAGGUUUUAAAAUCUACCGUCACACUAGCUGGCAAUGCCCCUUUCAGAUGCUCAGAUGUGGCACGGAAGUUUAUCAUUAUUACAAAUUGUUACUUUAUUGGUACUGGAAGGUGUUGUAGUCAAAGAUGCUGAAAACCUGAUUUUGAGAAUG